rnacentral:rRNA from 1 species
GAUGAACGCUGGCGGCGUGCCUAAUACAUGCAAGUCGAGCGAACGGACGAGAAGCUUGCUUCUCUGAUGUCAGCGGCGGACGGGUGAGUAACACGUGGAUAACCUACCUAUAAGACUGGGAUAACUUCGGGAAACCGGAGCUAAUACCGGAUGAUAUUUUGAACCGCAUGGUUCAAAAGUGAAAGACGGUCUUGCUGUCACUUAUAGAUGGAUCCGCGCUGCAUUAGCUAGUUGGUAAGGUAACGGCUUACCAAGGCAACGAUGCAUAGCCGACCUGAGAGGGUGAUCGGCCACACUGGAACUGAGACACGGUCCAGACUCCUACGGGAGGCAGCAGUAGGGAAUCUUCCGCAAUGGGCGAAAGCCUGACGGAGCAACGCCGCGUGAGUGAUGAAGGUCUUCGGAUCGUAAAACUCUGUUAUUAGGGAAGAACAUAUGUGUAAGUAACUGUGCACAUCUUGACGGUACCUAAUCAGAAAGCCACGGCUAACUACGUG